UGGGGAAUUGUUCGCAAUGGGCGCAAGCCUGACGACGCAACGCCGCGUGCGGGAUGAAGGCCUUCGGGUUGUAAACCGCUUUGGUCCGAAAGAAAGGGUAAAACUUGAUCGAUCGGAGAAACAAGGACGGGCUAAGUUCGUGCCAGCAGCCGCGGUAAGACGAACCGUCCAAACGUUAUUCGGAAUCACUGGGCUUAAAGGGCGCGUAGGCGGCCGAGCGGGUCGUGGGUGAAAUCCUCCAGCUUAACUGGAGAACUGCUUACGAUACCACUGCGGCUCGAGGAAGGAAGGGGUCAUGGGAACUGUCGGUGGAGCGGUGAAAUGCGUUGAUAUCGACAGGAACGCCUGUGGCGAAAGCGCAUGACUGGUCCUUUUCUGACGCUGAGGCGCGAAAGCCAGGGGAGCAAACGGGAUUAGAUACCCGCGUAGUCCCUGAGCGGGCUGGCAAGGCGCAU
rnacentral:rRNA from 1 species